GCUGAGUGCAUGCAACUUCAGAAGUUUGGUAGUCAGAUAUGUACCUUGUUCUUGACUAGCAUUCAUAUGAUGGCGGUCACUCCUUUUCAGAGAAAAGGAUAUAUUUCUGUCUAAACUCAGAUAUAAUCAGAGUGCUAUCUUGGCUUAUAAGCAUUUAAAUCAAUCAUUAUUUUUUCAAAUUACAUUUGGAUUGUAUUCAUCCAUUUCUGCUAGCUUGUUUCUUGUUUUUGAUUCAUACUACAAUCUAUUGUUACUUGAAUGUCUGUUUUUACUUUUUUGAUGAAUCUGAGACCGAAGCCACUCUGUUCAAAUGCAAGGAUGGACAGAGAGAGAGCAGAGAAGAAGAGAUGCAUAGAGAGACAGAAGCAGAAGAGAGUAGAGAAGAAGAGAGGCAUAGAGAGAUGCAGUCUGCCUCAAAAUUUUCUUACUUUUCAACUGGCGUUUCUGUUGCUGGAAUCAUAAGCAUUUUCUCUGGAUAUCUUGGAGAUCAAACAGGACAUGCCCAUACAGUCCCUCUAAAGAUUUGCACCUUCUUCAUGCUGGCCACCUUUGUAUCUGGAGCCAGCAUGCUGCUUCUGAUACUCAUCAAUCUUAGCAGGCACAUCUCUAUUAUAUUCUUCAGAAGCCUCAAGUAUACGGCAUUCGGGUUCCUGACCCUUUCAAUGUGUAGUGUCUCCAUUCUUUUCCUAAAGAUGUUUGCCAUUCUUGCCUUUGUUCCGACGGUGUGUAUAGUAUUGAUUUCAUUCAUUAUGGCCUGGCAUCCACGCAGUCAUGACCGAGGUGAUAGUGGCAUGCCAUUCAGUCGUUUAUCAGAAUCUGUUUGAAACAUCUGGAUGCUGUAGAAUUGUGUUAUUUUGAAUCCUGGACUCCUGUUACUAUGUAAUAUUAGUACUUUAACAUUGUUUAUGGUGAUGAUUGCAUUCAUUAUGGCUUGGUUUCCAUGAUGUCGUCACCUGGGUAAUUGGGGUAUAUGUCAUUCAGCCAUUUAUCCAAAUCUGUUUGAAACAUUUGGAUGCUGUUAACUUGUGUUAUUUUCAAUCCUGGACUCCUGUUACCAUGUAAAAUUAGUACUUAACAUUGUUUAUGGUGAUGAUUGCAUUCAUUAUGGCUGGGUUUCCACCGAGUCAUCAUCAAGGUAAUCGUGUCAUGUCACUCCCUCCUUUAUCCGAAGCUGUCUGAAACAUUAAGAUUAAGGAACUCAAAUGCUAUUUGUUGGUUAGUCAUUUUAGAUGAGGUCCAGAUCAUGACAUGUUGAACUAGUUUUCAAAUUUUGGAAAUUCAAGAUAAUUUUGAUUAUAAUAUUUUCACUGGCAAUUAAGAUCAACGCAUUAACAUACAAUGCAAUCAAGAGGAUCAAACAUAUUGGGAGCAAUAAUUAAAUAGGAGAUAAUCAUUGUUGACCAACUCCACCCAAGAUUAUAAGUGAAAAGUAUUCAACUGAGGAGGGUUCUACACCCUAUGACGAGGCUAGAUACUGAGCUCAGAAUACUAAAAUUGCUAAUAUAUAAUUUUCACUUGUAGAGUAUCGAUUUGCUAUCAUAUAAUCUCCACUGGCAUGAAAUCAAUACGUUAACAUAUAAUCUUAUUAGCAACAUAUCAAUAUGCCAAUAUAUAAUCUUCAUUGGCAAAGUGUCGAUAUAUUAAUAUACAACUCCUAUUUAUAGAAUAUUGAUAUACCAGCGUAUAAUAUCUAUUGGUAGAAUAUCAAUGUACUAGCGUCUAACUUUCGCUAGUAGAACCAAUGCACAACCUCUAUUGAUAAGAUAUUAAUGUAUCAAUGCAUAACCCCUAUUGGCAGAAUAUUGGUGUAUAAAAUAUAACUACAUUGCCAAGGUUCUGAUGCACAGUCUACAAGUUAAAAUUUGUGUCAAAUCAAAGCCAUUUUUCCAUCAAAUUGAUUUCAUAUUCCAAAUCGAACAAUAUGCAAAAUAAUCAGGAAUUGAAAUCAAUCGAUUAUAAUGCAUAAUAAAAUCAAUAUUUUCGAACAUGCAUCAAAUAGUAUUUCAUAUAAAACAUUCUUUAAGCAAAUACUAUGCUUCAAGUUCAUUGAUCACAAAUAACAUGAUUUAAAAUUUAAUGAUAUAAAUACUAUAUAGUUUGUCAAUAAAUCCAUAAAAAAGUUAUAUUACUUAUCUUACAAGUGAAACCAACUGAUAGAUUCAAUUAAUUUCAAGAAUCUUCCUCGGAGCUUAAUAUCCAAAAUCAUAUUCUAUCAAAAGUUAACCAUGAUUAAUUUAAGAAUAGAAAAUCUCAAAUCCCAUCAUCUUUAUAAGACUGGUCAUGUGGUAGCACUCGACAUCUUGGUCGGUUCGAUCUAGGGCAUCUAAUUGAUCAAUUAUAAAUCAAGAAUUAUGCUAAGAUGCUAAGAUGCAAUUAAAGAUGAAAUUUAGUGGUGCCUUACUUGGCUGAGGUGGGGAUCGGCAUAUACCAUCUGGCAGCCAUGGAUUUGGAUCCUCUUCACUAGAAUUGGAUUAAAAUUAUUGAAGGAAGAUUUUUAUUAUGUCAAACAACCCUAUAGAGACAGUAGAGAGAGAGAAACUUAUAGAUAGAGAAAGUAGAGAGAAAGUAGGAAAGAGAGAGGGAAAGGAGAAAAGAGGAGAAAGAAACUAUCUUCUUUUUCUUUUUUUUCCUUUUCCUUUGUUUUCUUUUUUUUUCUUCCCUUUUUGCUUUCCUUCUUUCUUUUUCUUCUCUUUUCUACCUUUGGUUCUUGGGGAAACAUGUUGAAAUUUAUUGCCAAGUCCAAAUCUAACUAGGAUUCAAUUUUAAGUUGGUCAUUAGUUUUAAUGACUUUAAGAUUCUAUUUAACUAUUCUUGGGUGUUUUGCAUGUAUACCCUUCCAAAUAUUCAAAUUUGCAUGAAUACUCUCAUAAAAUUACUAUUUACAUAUAUAUUCUUAUAAAUUUUUUUUGCACAUCUAUCCAUAAAGAUAUUUUAGUCAUUUUAAUUUUAAAUUAUUAAUUUUUAACUGUAUUAGAUGAUAUAGGUACAUAUACAAAAAAAGAUAUUUUAUGAGGAUAUAUAUAUGCAAAUAUCAACUUUGAAAGGGUAUUCAUGUAAAUUGAAUGUUUGGGAGGAUAUACAUAUAAAAAAUUUUUAAUUUUAUUUGUGUGCAGAUAAUAGUCGAUGCUCACAGUUAUUGCAACCGACAACUUGAUGUUUGUUGGGAUAAGUUGAAUACUCAAAAGAACCUUAGUAUCAUGAUCGUGGAGUUAUUGCCAAAAGAAGUACUACAAGAGAUCAUCAUUUUCGACAUGUACAUCGAAAAGGAUGAGCCAGCGAAAGAAAUAAUGUCCAAGCCAAUAAAGAAGUUUUAUUAUUCAAUUGUUGAUUUAAAAAAUUAUUACAUAUUACUAUUACUACGACAAUGAUAGCAAUGGCUAUGAUGACGCUUCAUGACAUUGACAACUCCAGUACUGUCAGCAUGAACUUUGUAAUGAAAAAGAGCGUUAAGAUUCAUUGUCAAGUCCCAAUCUAACUAGUAUUCUAUUUUUAGUUAGUCAUUAGUUGUAAUGUCUUGAAAACUCCAUUUAAUUAUUUUUUGUGUCCUAUUCAAAUGAGGCUCUAUCUCUAGUAUUGCUAUAUCCAUUUUAGAGUUUUAUAUUUUAGUAGAUUUUGAUUUUUGAGUUAAAAUAGGAGUCAAACUCCUAUGCAUGUAGCGCUCCAUAUAGAAGGACUUUUGGUAUUUCUUUUAUGUGUGGAAGAUGAUGGAAGAAGUAUGCAUGGGCGGAUGUGAGAGGUAUGGGAAGAGAGUUAGAGAUGUCCUUUUUAGUGAGGCAUGAGAGAACCCUUUUAUGUUGCUCAAUUUGUUUAAUAAAGAUUUUUCUCCCUCUUAAAUUUUCAAUAUUUCUUCUCUUUCUUUUUUUAUAUAUAUAUUUUUGGAUCUUAAGCCAACAUGUUCGAUCAACAUUGAGUAGCAUCUCAUUCUACAAAAUAGGGGGCCAUUAUUUUCCCUCCUUCCUAGAAGAGGAGAACCCACCAAUCGAUUGCGGCCAAGGCUGAUGGUGGCUAGACCAUGGUAGUGUAGCCGAGCUCACCCAAUAAGCAGUUGGUGGUGAUAAUUAACACCGAAAAAUCAAAGAAGAAAACAAAAAAAUUAAACCAAAAUAGGAGAGAGGUUUCACAACUUAAUUUUCUUGCAGUUGACAAAAUCCAGCCAAUGGUGAGUCACUAAAGAAAAAAAAAAAAAGACUAGCAAGGAAAAAUAGAGGGGAAUUGGAUUUCCAUACCUUAUCCCCGAUGAGGUUUCAAAGCCGACAUAGUAAAAGAUAUUGGGAGGAAGAAGAGGAAUAAGAGAAGUUUUGCGGUGUUGAUUUGAUGGCUAACAGUGGUAAGGCUUGAAGAGAGUGAGAAGGUCUUUAAAUAAAGUAGAAGGAAGCAUCGGCCGGAUUUUUCCAAUAAAAUCGGGAGGAAGAAGACUUCUUCUUCUUCUUCUAUAGGAUUUCCUUUCCUUCUCCCUUUUCUUUUUUUUUUUCUUGUUUUGGGCCUAAAUCAAGAUUUUGGGCGGGUCAAAUGGAUAAGCCCCAGCUUCUAUUCAGGUCGGAUCCUCACACUUAUAUCAUGCAAGAAGUCUGCUUUCUUGUGAUAUGUGUCAAGCUUCCACCGGAGAGCAAAGAGAAGAGGAGGAAGGGAAGGGAAAAAUCAUCUGCUCUUGGUUUGAGAUUUUUGUUUUUAUCAUAAUUUCAAGUGUGAUAUGAAUAUCUUGUCCAUGCUAACACUAUCCAUGGUGGCUACAUGUCUGCUCAAUUUUUCACGCUAACAUUGGCAUGUAGAAAAGGUGUGGGUGAUCAUAUUCGGGUGAUGAUAUAUUCUUAGAUAGGAAUUCUUUACAAAAAAUUGAUUCAAAAAAUUGACCAAAAACAUUUGGAAAGUUAUUUGAAUGGUUAUGGUUGUAUAUCUGCACAUACAUAGAAAUGCAUAAAAAUUAUUUGUACCAAUGUUAAAAAAUAAAAUAAAAUAAUUUUUUUUGAUAUUUUAUAUAUAGAGAGAGAGUCAGACUAGAAUCAGAUCGAUCAGAUUUACUUUCAAAUUCGAUCAGAUCAAAACUCGAUAAUAGCAGUCCUAUAUCAAUAAUUCAAACUGUUGAAUAUGAUCUACUAUCUCAAAACUACUUACAUAUAAAAAAUCAUAUGAGUUGGAGAUCCCUGGCCUAUGCAUCAAAUGGUCAAAAUUUGGAUAGUCUAAAUAAAAUUAAAUUACAUAUAUUUUUUGAUCACUUGAUGCAUAGACUAGGAUUUUCAAAUCACAUAAUUUUUUAUGUACAAGUAGUUAUGAGAUAGUAGCUCACAUCCAAUGAUUUGGAUCAUUGAUGUAGAACCUCCAUUGUCUAAUUUUGACCGGACCGGAUUGGAGUCUAAAUCUGAUUGAUCUUAUUCAAUUCUAUCCCUAUAUAUAUAUAACUCUUAAAAAACAAUUGUAGGUGGCUAUAUUAUGGAUGGGGUAUUUGAUGAUGUUAAAUUAUAUUAUUAUUCGUAUGUAUUAGAUGCACUUAUGCUACUAAUUAUAUUGGAAUUAUAACCUCCACAUGCAAUGCAAAAAACAGAAGAAAAAGAGAAUACGAUAUUCCUUUUCUCCUUCGACACUGAUGAAAUGGGUUACAACGUCAGCCCUCUCACUCUGUUAAGAGAGAUGAUGGGAAAAAAGAAUGAAGGAGAGGAGGAAAGUUAAGGACGUAAUUGUAGAAGUGACACAAAUAUGUAUGCGUUAGGCACUUCAAUAUGGGUUAAUUGGACCCUGUUAAAGAGUAGGCUCCAAAGUUAAAUGAUGUGGCAGUGAUCUUAGGCUUUGCCAGCCUCUUUGAUGCAGUGGUUACAAUUUGAAUCCCUAGUUGUCAUACCUUUUUCGUACAGUCAGAGAUACUAGGUUGAAGUCUUGGUUAGCACAUUUCUAAUUAUUUGGACUUAGAUGAGUACAAUGCAACUGGGUCCCCUUCCCCCGCCUUUUUUUCUUCUCUCUAGAAAAAUGAUUGGAACAAAAAUAUUCAAAGCUAGGGGACAAUAUGUUACAAAGACAACUAAAUAUAUGAUCUUGGAACCGGAGGCUAAGUUUUUGAUACGGAUGGGUCCAACGGCCAUUUGGCUAUCUUUCUGAUAUCUUACAUUCACAUCUUAGCAAUCACCCUACUAACUCUGCAUAAUUAAUCCAUUAGAUAUUACAUAGAAACAUUUUGACCUCCAACAUCUCCAUGAUUUUGCGUUUAGACGCGCGUGUUGCCAUUUUGGUGCAUGUCUUUGGCUCCACGAGCCCUUGUAAUUACAUAAGCGUGACAUUUUGGAAAUGCAUCAUGGGACUUGAUUGAUCUUUCAGAGCAACUUCAUUAAAGAAGGUGUACGCAGCAAAGCAUUGGACUGAAUCUGUUUAGCAAAGAAAUCAAUACACAACCAUCUACAAUUUGACAUCAAGUACAUGAAAAGAAAAAAACAUAAACAUUAAAUCUUAGUUGAUUCAAGGCACUUGAAGAUCUCCUGUUUCCUGGAGCUUUGCCAUGUCAUUCUUGCAUGAUAUUUAGCAUCACUUCCAUUUCUUUUAUUUUGAAAAUGAAAGAAUAGAAAUUUUAUUUUCAUUUUUCUAAUUUUCAAAAAUAUAAACAUGUUUGAUAUUGUCAACUAAUCAAAUAUGACAAUAAUAGUGAAGAGAUUGAUAGUUGCAACAGAUAUAGAGAUGGCAUAGAUGAUAGGUUUAGUGAUGAUACAGUAGAGGUAGUAAAUAUGGCAGUGGUAGUAUAAUGGAGGUGAUGAUAAUGGUGAAGACAGUGGUGGCAACAAUGCAAAAGCAUUAAUGAUGUAGUGGAGGCUACAACAAUACAGUAAUAGUAGCGGCAAUAGUGGUGGAGGUAGUGGUGGCACCAACUAUAUUGUGAAAAUGACAAAAUAGCAGCAGUAAUGAAGCAGCAACCGUAAAGAUAGAAAUAGUGGCAACAAUGAUAGAGAUAGCAAUGGUGAUAGGCUAUAGCAAUUAGAGUGAAGGUAGUGUCAGCAACGAUGGUAAAAUAGAAAUUUUUUAUUCUUAAAAAUAUUAAAAGCAAGAAUUCCUUACAUAAUCUUUUGGAAAUAAUAAAUUUAUUUCAUGAAUAAAUAAAUAAUAAAUUUAUUUUUAAAAAUAGAAAAUAAAAAUGUAUCAACAUAUAUUUUUGUCAUGAUUUUUUGUACUUAUUUUUAAAAAAGAAACCAUUAAAUAAAAAUGAUGCUAAUAAGAUCUUUAGAGUACAUUUUUUUUUCUUUUUAUUUUUUCAAUUGCUUUAUUCAAGUAUGUAUUAGAUGAANNNNNNNNNNNNNNNNNNNNNNNNNNNNNNNNNNNNNNNNNNNNNNNNNNNNNNNNNNNNNNNNNNNNNNNNNNNNNNNNNNNNNNNNNNNNNNNNNNNNNNNNNNNNNNNNNNNNNNNNNNNNNNNNNNNNNNNNNNNNNNNNNNNNNNNNNNNNNNNNNNNNNNNNNNNNNNNNNNNNNNNNNNNNNNNNNNNNNNNNNNNNNNNNNNNNNNNNNNNNNNNNNNNNNNNNNNNNNNNNNNNNNNNNNNNNNNNNNNNNNNNNNNNNNNNNNNNNNNNNNNNNNNNNNNNNNNNNNNNNNNNNNNNNNNNNNNNNNNNNNNNNNNNNNNNNNNNNNNNNNNNNNNNNNNNNNNNNNNNNNNNNNNNNNNNNNNNNNNNNNNNNNNNNNNNNNNNNNNNNNNNNNNNNNNNNNNNNNNNNNNNNNNNNNNNNNNNNNNNNNNNNNNNNNNNNNNNNNNNNNNNNNNNNNNNNNNNNNNNNNNNNNNNNNNNNNNNNNNNNNNNNNNNNNNNNNNNNNNNNNNNNNNNNNNNNNNNNNNNNNNNNNNNNNNNNNNNNNNNNNNNNNNNNNNNNNNNNNNNNNNNNNNNNNNNNNNNNNNNNNNNNNNNNNNNNNNNNNNNNNNNNNNNNNNNNNNNNNNNNNNNNNNNNNNNNNNNNNNNNNNNNNNNNNNNNNNNNNNNNNNNNNNNNNNNNNNNNNNNNNNNNNNNNNNNNNNNNNNNNNNNNNNNNNNNNNNNNNNNNNNNNNNNNNNNNNNNNNNNNNNNNNNNNGGAUAUUUUUGGAGGUAGAUUUGGCUAGAUUAAACUAAAGAGGGGAAUAAGUCUUAAACAGCUCAAACAUCUUAAUUAUAUCUACUUGAUCUAACAACUGGACUAAUCAAAGUAUGAAACAAAACUUAAAUCCAAUUUAUUUAGUAAAAAAUAAAUAAAAUUUAAAUAUUUUUUUAUAAUUUAGUUUUUUAUGUUGAACCUAAGUAUUUAGUUCUAAUCAGAAUGGUGGGUUGGCUUCCCAUUGUAUCUUUCAAAAAAAAAUGAUUCCUCUCUUGUCCAAUGUCAACUAUCGAAUUGCACAAUAUCUAUUUAAGAUUUUUGUAGUUAGAUGGAAUAAAGUGAUUGGAGUGUUGUGAAGAACGUGAUUUGUUGCUGUGAAAAGAAAACAUAUAUCAAUUAUUUUAUCAUACAGAAGAUACAACCAAACCCCAAGACUAUAGCCAGCCACUACAUCAACCAGCAAUUUGGUUUCAUCAUUGAAAUCGAAGGCAACAAAGUUUCUGGUUUCUUUGGUUUAUAUCGUCCAAAAACCGAACUCAUUUCUUUUUACAUGUAGACUUUUUAGAGUCAUUACCUAAGUCUUCCUUUCUGAAAAGAGAAUUUUAUGCGGUUAGUACAUGGCCACUCCUCUUAAGAGCUCCCACACUCAACAAGCUCAUUGAAGCCAUUAGCUUCUAGUCUUGCUUGCAACACCUGCGAGAUAAUUUCUCCCAUCCUACUAUUUAGUGUGUCAUUCGCCGUUAUUUGCCAUCGUCAUCCUCCAAACUUGCUCCUCUCAAAUGGACGACAUCCUUUUUAUUUGUUCAAUCUCUCUUUCCUCUCUCCACAAAUAUUCUCAAGCCAUGGCUCUAAUUUGAAUCUUUUUAUUUGCCCAUCUUUAUCCGCUAAAGAAACUUUCGUUUAAAGAAUGAGUGGGUAUUUUUGGAGGUUGAUUUGGCUGCAUUAUGUUGGAUGAGAAGGCAAAUUCAAUCGAGUUAAAAUGUUAUAUGAUCAUAAAUGAGGAUCUCAUUUGUGAUUCUCUAUCAUUGAAUUUGUUAAUUCGCAAUAGAGAAUCUUAAAAUAUUUUUUUCUCUUUCUUUUCCUUUUUUGUAAAUAUUUUUUUAGCAAUCAACGUAUAUUUUAGCCUACAUUGCAAUGGCUCUUUCUUUGAUGGUCUUAAAUACAUGCUAAUUACUAAUGAAAUAUGUAUUGGAAAGGAAAAGAAAAAAAUAAAAAUGGUUGUUUGUUUUCUAUUAUUUAUUGUAAAUAUGAAUAAGUUGAAAUUUCAUGUAAACUAAUUGCCGGUAUUUUUCAAUCAUAUUAGUUGGUAACAUUUAUCUCUUGAAAAGCCCAUUUUCGAGUUGUUUAAUAUACCCUUCUAUUUAAUAAAAAUAGCUUAUUUCUAAGUUCCUUACUAUAAAUAUCUAUAAUUAAAAUCAUAAUUAUUGACAACUACCAUUUAAAGCUAUGCAUUUGACUGGAUUUUCAUUCAAGAAUCUUGCAUAUAGUUAAAUAAAAAUUAAAACAAAGAAAUCCUCGAUAUAGCUUCACAUAUCUUGCCCUAUAUAUCUAUGGAUAUCCUAUUAUUCGCACACUGCUGGUGGCUUAAUAUUUGUUCUCUUUAAGAGAGUAAACUAAGAGAAAUACUUUGGCUAAAAGUGAGAUCCAAAAUAGUGUAGAUUGAAUUUCUUCAAGUGUAUAUAAUAUGGGGUGUGUUGGCUAAAUUUUAUAUUUUUUUUCCUUGCCAUCUCCUCUUUUCUUAUUUUAUUUAUUAAAUGAAAUUUGUGAAGUAGCUUGCCAUUAUUUAGCUGAGAAAGAAAAUAUUAUAGCAGCCAAUUUCUUUUAAACAAAGUAAUUAUGAUCAUUAGUGUAAUUGUUUUUAGUAAAACUGGCACCCUAAUAUCUUAUAAACUUAGUUUUUUGAGGCUAAACUAUUGGUAGAGACAACUUUAGCUAACAUGCAAAUAAAUUGGAUUAGGUUGGAUCAAAUUUGAAAAUCUGCCAACGACAGUCCAAUAUGUUUGCUAAACAAAUUAAAAAUUCAAAAUCAAAUCUUUUUAUUAAAGAGGUACUCCUAUAAUCUAUUUAAUAAAUAAAUUAAAUUAUACCAAACAUGUUGAUGGGUUCUAAACAGUUUAAACAUUUUAACUAUAUCAAUUCGAUCUAACUAUUGGACUCAUCAAAAUACGAAACUGAACUUAAAUGCAGUUCAUUUAGUAACUAAAUAAAUAAAAUUUAAAUAAUAAGUGAUCCCUCUUUCUUCUGCAACGUACUAUAAUGUCCGCGUUGAGAUCCAUACAGAAUGGUGAAAGGGCGAUCAGGAUGCUUUGGCAUUCGUGUAGGGUGUGACCUAACGGUUUGUGCUGCAAAAAAAUCAUUCUUUCGCGCGAAAGAUAUGGCUCGGACCUACAGCCACCCAUCACAUCAACCAGCAACCCCUCCCGUCCGGACCAACAGAGUUUCUCGUUUCUCAGUUUUCUAUCAUCCUUUUCAGAGUUCCUACUCUCUUCCCUAAAAGUUUCUACUUUCUCGGAUUUCUAUCGUCUAAAGCUAGACUCUCCGGGGUUCCUACCCACUUCCUUGAAUAAUUGCUGAUCAAAAAAUUUUCUAUCGNNNNNNNNNNNNNNNNNNNNGACCUUGUGCGGUGUCUUUCUGAACUCCUCCGACCAUCCGAGCUUCCACAGUACCAUCCGGACUCCUCCAGCGAUCGACCUUCCACAGUAUCCUCCAGAUUCCUCCAACGGACGAACUCCUAUCGUACCCUCCAGACUUCUCCGAUAAUGAGCUCCUUCAGUCGUCUAUCGGACUGCUCCAAAUGCUCUCUGGACUUCACUAUCAGCCGAUUUUCUACAGUGAUCGACUACUCUCCGAAUCUCUUCCAGACUUCCUCCCAUCACGAUCGACUUUACUCCGAGCUUCUUUCGGACUUCGUCAAUGUCCGGACUUCUUCAACAGCAGGACUUCUACAGUAACCAGACUCUAUCCAAGUUUCUACACUGGUUGACCGCCUUCCGAAUUUCAUCUGAGCUUCUACAGUAAGCGAAUUCCGUCCGAACUUCUAUUGCAAGCGGACUUCAUCCGAGUUUCUACGGUAAGUGGAUUUCGUCCGACCUUCUACAAUAAGCGGUCUCCAUCCGGACUUCCACGGCAACCGGUCUCCAUCCGAGCUUCUACAGUAAGUGGCCUCCUUUCGGACUCCUACAAGAACCGAACUCCGUCCGAACUUCUACAACAGAAUUGGAUUCCAGACGAACUUCUACAAUGGACGGGCUCCAGCAGCCGGAUUUCUACAGUGACCGACUGUCUCCAGUGUCUUCCAUACCUCUCCAGCCAUCAACCUUCAACAGCGCCAACCGGACUUCAACAGUGCCAACCAGACCCCUCCAACGGAUAAAUUUUCUCCGGACCCCUCCAGCAUUCGACCUUCCACAGUGUCCUCCAGACUCUUCCAACGGACGAACUUUCACAACGCCUUCCAGACUCUUCUAUUGGUCAACCUUCUAUAGCGUCUUCUGAAUUUCGCUAUCGGUCGACCUUCUGCCGGAUUCCUCAUGCAACCGGACCUCUCCAGCGGACAGUCUUCAGACAAGCUUCUACAUUAGACAAAUUCCAAACGGACUUCUCUAGCAAUCGGACUCUAAUCGGAUUUCUCCAACAGAAAGUUUUCAUCCGGACUUCUACAGCAGAUGACUUCCGUCUGCAGCAUCAACGCCUAAGGCAUCCAACAACAGUUAACCCGUCAGCAACCUCGGAAACAUCCGAGCUUCUCUUAGAUUGCUGAGACAGAGAGCUAUUCUGCUCCACUAGACGUCCCAACCGAGAUUCAGCCGUCCGGCCCGAACUCCUCGGUAAGUCACGAUAAUGGACACCACUCCACUCUUUGUAACAAACUCCACGUGGCCCCACCACUCUCCGGCAAGUCGCGACAACGGACACCACUACUCUCCGUAACAAACUCCACAUGGCCCCGAACGGCCCACUACCAGAUAGUUACGGACGUCGCUGUCAAUCGGUUACGCUCUCCCGUCUAUAAAAGAGACCUCCCAGAUACGUUUUCCUCUAAGCUCUAAGCACUAUCUCUAAACUCUGAAAAAAUUCCAUUCGAGUGCUUCAUUUUUGUUGAAGCAGAAUACUGACUUGAGCAUCGGAGAAUCUUGCCGGAGCACCCCCAACUCCGAUUUAGACUUUCUUUGCAGGUUUCGGCGGCGGCCGUGAUCCCCUCGACUCCAGCUUCAUCUGACAUCGGCGGAAUUCUGCNNNNNNNNNNNNNNNNNNNNUUUGAAACUAGAUUUUAUAAAAUUUUAUUCAGAUUACCAAAAUAAUUUGGAUUGUCAUCCAAAAAAAACAUAACCUAAAAUUUUUUUGUUUCUCAAUUUUCUAUCAUUUAAAACCAGGCUUUCGAGAGUUUCUAUUCGUUUCUUUAAAUCAUUGCUGAUCAAAAAAUCUUCCUUAAAUCGUUCCUCAAUUUUCUAUCAUUCUAUCCAAGUUGCCCGCUACCAAACGCCACUUAAAAAUUCUUUUGUUUGUCAGUUUUCUAUCGUCUAAAACUAGACUUUCCGGAGUUCCUACCGACCUCCUUAAAUCGUUGUUGACCAAAAAAGUAGUUUACAAAAAAAAAUUAAAAUAAAAUUAAAAUAAAAAAAAAAGAAAAGAAAAGAAAAAGAAGAUCGUUUCUCGGUUUUCUAUCGUUUGAAACGAGACUUUCUAGAAUUCCUGCCCAAGUCCUUCUUACGCGGUCUGUAGACGGGCCACUCCUCUUAGAGCUCCCGAGCUCAAUGAGCUCAUUGGAGCUAUCGGCUUCUGGGCUUGGUCGCAGCACCUGCGAGGAAAUUCCCCCAUCCUACCGUUCCCGCAUCGAUUCGUCGUUCUUCGCCAUCGUUGUCGUCGUUGCUCCUCUCAAAAGUUCGACACCCUUUUUUAUUUCUUCGAUCUCUCCUUCCACUCUCCACAAACAACUCCAAGCCAUGGUUUUCUUCGGUGUUCUAGCUUCUCUCCAAGUCCUCGUCCUCAUCGCCAUCGCCUACAUCAAGAAGGCAAGUCGCCACGGAAGCGACGAGCUAAGCCGAUCCUCACUCUCAAAUUCAUAUACCAAAAUUUCGGCAGCUCAUUUGCUUCUACUCCUUUCCUUUUCAGGACAACUGCGCCGAAGAUGUCGAGAACCAGCUGGGGGAAAAGACAAAAGCCGAGAAAAACCCGACACCCCGACAGAGCUACCAUGAAGUAAAUUGCUUCUAGUCCCAUUCUGUUUAUGUGGUGCUUUAUGUUGGAGCAAAACGCAGUAAUAAUUGGAACAAAAAUGCAAUUGAAAAUAGAUAAUUUCUUUUUUUUUUCCCCCUUGGAGGUGACAACACUAAUUAGGCUAAGGCGUCAGUCUUUGAGAUGGAGAACACUUUGUUGCCAUCUGCAGCCGUGCCAAUGAGGAUAUCAUUUGGUACAGUUUGAAGUCCCAUUUCUUCUGUUUUGUCACUGAGAUUUCGGUUGAUUAACACCAGUGCAGAUGAUGAUCACUUUAGGAAAUCGGUCAAUAAAACUAAAAGGUGCAAGAAAGAAAGCACCUUAUUCAUGAAUAGGGCUGAAAUUUUCGCUUACCCCUCUAGUUGCGAUGGUAGAAUCUGUUUCUUGGACAAUAUAAGACUAUUGCAAUGGUUAAUACCCAAUCGAUAGAGUUUAUGCAGAGGUGGUGGUUCCAAUGUCUGUUUAUUUACAUGAUUUUUUUUUUUUCCCCCUUUACUAGCCCGUUGACCGGAUUUGUUCUUCAAAUGAAUGGUUCAUUGAAUUUACAAAUUCUACCAGUCGAUCAGAGUAUUCAUGAUAUAUUCAGAAUUACUGAAAUAUUGAUGCUCGUUGUUGCUCCUUAGUAAGGAUGAUUGACAAAUAAGUAUCAUAAACCUUAUAUGAAGGGCUUGAUUGUCUUUUCCUUUUUUGGUUCAUGACCUCAUGCUAUUUGUUGCUAUUGUAAUUUCCACAAUACAAAAAUGCAACAUAAAUGCUGAUUUGGCAUAAUUUGCAUAUGUAUAUAUCAAUUUCUACAUAAUUUUUUAAAUCAAGAGUAGUUUGUUGCCUUCCUCCAGCGGCACUGUCCUUCACAAGCUGAAAAAUCCUGUGGCAGAAAAGAUAAUCAUCCCAUGGUGAGUCAGUACCAUGAUGACACUGGGAACAACACAUUAGAUCAAAUACUCCAGGUAAAUUAUAUGUUACUUGUUUAAAGCAGUAUGUUCUGAAGAGUAAUAUACUGACUCAAAGUUAUGUACAACAGCAGCCAGAUUUAUCUCCAGCAACCACUGGUAGAGGUGCACGUGAGCCAGAUGAAGAUGGUAGUGUAACUCAUGGGAACUUAGAGUUGGUAUGGUAACCUCCCAAAUAUAUAACUUAGAUUUCUGCAUAUUCUCUUCUAUGAUAAUAUCGGCAAUAUGAUUAUACUAAUAUCCUGUGGUGUACAGGUAUGACAUUCUAAUUGUUGUACAGCACCAUUCCUGCUACUGAUUUUGUCAUGUUAUUUGAUAGCUAGCUCCAUAUAGAGGUUUUCAGCCCAUUGCUCCUCUCAUCCCACAAGUGAGUAAUAUAACUAAAACAAAAGAACACUCAAUAUUGUUGCCAUCUGCAGCCGUGCCGAUGAGGAUAUCAUUUCAUAAUUCAAAUAGCUUAAAGUCCCAUUACUUCUGUUAUGUCACUGAGAUUUUGGUUGAUUAACACUAGUGAAGAUGAUGCUCGAUUAAGGAAAGCAGUCAAUAAAACUAAAUGGUGCAAGAAAGAAAGCACUUUAUUCAUGAAAAGGGCUGAGAUUUUCGCUUACCCCUCUAGUUGCGAUGGUAGAAUCUGUUUCUUGGACAAUAUAAGAUUAUUGCAAUGGUCAAUACACAAUCAAUCGAGUUUAUGCAGAGAUGGUAGUCCAAUAUCUGUUCAUUUACAUGAACUUUUUCCUUUGCUAAUCUAUUGAUCGGAUUUGUUCUUCAAAUGACUGGAUUAUUGAAUUUACAAAUUCUACCAACUGAUCAGAGUAUUCAUGAUAUAUUCCGAAUUACUAAAAUAUGGAUGCUUGUUGUUGUUCUUUUGUAAGGAUGAUUGACAAAUAAGUAUCUUAAAGGUUAUAGCUUGAUUGUCUUUUAUUUUAUUUUUGUUCAUGAACUCGUGCUAUUUGUUGCUAUUGUAAUUUCCACGAUACAAAAAUGCAACAUAAAUGCUGAUUUGGCAUAAUUUGCAUAUGUAUAUAUCAAUUUCUACAUAAUUUUUAAAAUCAAGAUUGGUUUGUUGCCUUCCUCCAGCAGUACUGUCCUUCACAAGCUGAAAAAUCCUGUGGCAGAAAAGAUAAUCAUCCCAUGGUGAGUCAGUACCAUGAUGAUACUGGGAACAACACAUUAGAUCAAAUACUCCGGGUAAAUUAUAUGUUACUUGUUUAAAGCAGUAUGUUCCGAAGAGUAAUAUGCUGACUCGAAGUUUUGUAUGACAGCAGCCAGAUUUAUCUGCAGCAUCCACUGGUAGAGGUGCACCUGAGCCAGAUGAAGAUGAUAUAGUAACUCAUGGGAACUUAGAGUUGGUACGGUAGCCUCCCAAAUAUAUAACUUAGUUUUCUGCAUGUUGUCUUGUAUGAUAAUCUUGGCGAUAUUAUUAUACUAAUAUCCUGUGGUGUAUAGGUAUGACAUUCUAAUUUUUGUACAGUGCUGUUCUUACCACUGACUUUUGUUGGAACAUAACAUAAAGAAGUUCUAAAAUAAUUUAAAAAAAUUAAAUAAGCUAACAAACUUUAUUAUAGAAAAAUUAUAAUAGACUUAUAGAAUAAUAAGAAAUAAAAAUAAUGAUCAAAUCCAGAAGCAUGUUGGACACUGUCCUAAGACGUAUUUCCAUCCCUCAUAUAGAAAAAUCUGAAAAAACCAUCCCGAGAUAUGAUCAGGAUCCUCUGUCUGCGAGCACGAUCGUGGAGGAGGUUGAUGAAGACUUUUCAAAACCCAGGAAGAGAAGAAGAAAUAUUGCAAUAGAAAAGAAAAGUAUUAGAAAAAGCUUGGAAAGAAGAAGAAGGGAAGGCUCUUAGAUGGCUUAUAGGAUUAGGUCCCAAAGGGACCUUUUUAUAGCCAAUCAAUAUGACUGUUUAUGAUCGUUUGUGACUGUUGGGGCUUUUAUUAACCCAUCAAGGCCUUUAAUAAGCAGUCCAACGGUCAAAAUCUUUAAUACAGAGUCCAACGAUCAUAAAUUAAAAAUAAAAUUAAAUACACAUGACUAUUGGUAAUUAGGAAUGCAACGGUCAAAAAUUAAAAUCAUGAUAAUAAAGAAAUUAAAAUAUUUAAACAGUAAAAUUAAAAUACUUGGAGGGAUAUUAUAGGAAAAUUUUGAGUUUUCCUCUAACAAUCCCCCACAAAACUCAAAAUUUUUUAAAAAAUUAUAAAAUAAAAUAAUAUAAAUUUUUGAAUGCUUAUACUAUACAAUGGGCAAGAUGACUUAACCUUAUUUAGUGUAAAUAGUUUCCAUCUGAAGGAAACAAAAUGAAUCAGAUCUUCAACUAUAUUUCUUUGACUCAGACUUCAACUAUUACACAUAUAGUACAGAGUUUCUUCAUCGCUAGUCUGUAUAUUAGUGGCCCUACAUAUGUAUCUUGAUUUUUCAUGAGAGUUGCUAGAGAUAGCCCAAAUCUCAUAUCCGCAGCCAUGUGCUCAUUUAGGUGAGGCCCUCCAAGGAUGUGUGUAGUGUCACAUCUCGAAGAGUACCUCUCGGAUCCUAUUAUGAGCUAUAGCUCUUCGUAACCACUACAUAGGAGCACUAAUCAUCAUAGGGAUGGGAUGAAUUCUAUGACUCCUAUAUUAAAUAAACCACAUGUGCUCUCUGACCAACUAAUUAACUUGUUAUUACCAUAUUGAAUCUCCUUCAAAGAAUCUCCUAUCACAGAGGUUGGAUUCUCACCAUUGAAAGGUUCAUUAUGGGCAAAGCCCCACCCCCUUCGAUAACUUUAGGACCUUAGUCCUAUUCAAACCUUUGUAAAGCAGACUGAUAUAAAAGGGUCUUCCCCCCACAAUUUCUAAAAUAUACCAGAACUUAUCUCAUGACUAUGUCUUGUAAUUAUUCAACCAUGUCAUUAGAAUAAAGAAAAUAAAUAGAAGAAAUUCUCAUUAUCACAGAAUGCUAUUCAUCAUUUCUUAAAAGAUGAUAUUUCCAUGAAUAGAUACAAAGGUUUAUCAAAAAUAACAUAUGCAUUAAAACUCUAGCGUGUCCCUUUUAUGCAACAAUAUUUAAAAGAUUCAUUUCAUGAAAUAAGUAUUACUAUAAAAGGAACAUCAGUUUUAAAAGGAAAAAUUCAAAAUAUUAUUAAAUCAUCAUUUGUAUAACAGGCAUUCUGAAAAUCUCUAAUCACAAGUUCUAUUCAGAAUAAUUUCUAAUUGUUUAUAUAUUUUUCUUCCAUCUAAAUUUAACUUAUUGACGUACAACUAAAAUCUAGCAUGGUGCCAUUAGUCACAGAACAUGCUUAAUGGGCAAUUGCAAAAUAUAAUAAAUGAAGCAAUUUAAUCACAAAAUUAAGAGGAAAGAGAAAAUGAUUGAUGAUAACUGAGCAAAUAGAUAGCAGGAUAGAAAGAGUUUGGCGAAGAAUUAACAUGAUAACAAAAUGUUUUAAUUCAUUUACUUCCUGAGAAGACUUGUUUUUGUGAAACGUGCUUGCCACAGGUCUUGAAUAAAGGAGUUUUCAGGAUGACCACAAGCACACAGUCAUGGUAUAAAAGUAAAGCAGAUAUAAAGCAAUUCAGCGUUAGUAAUAACAGUGCCUUUGUAACAACUGUGAUGUCUACUUCCAAACAUUUGAAUGACUUAACAGAAACCAAAGAAGGGGAACAUCUUUUCUUGUAGGCAUUUCAACUUCACAGUUCGGUCAAUAUCAAAAGAAGCGGAAGAGAAAAAUAUGAGAAUAUAAAACAAAGAUAUUUAAUGGAUGUCAGAUAAGAAGGAAAGCAGUAUCAUACAAACCAGUGUUAUUUACAUGCUGAAUUUCGUAAGGCAAAUUAUUCAUUACCAUAGACACCAAGUCACUGUACGGGAAGUCUAUAAAAUUUUCCUCAUCUAAAAGAAAUUUUAUUCUAUUAACAGUAUAGAUUAGCACUAGAACAAACAAGUUCUCUGUACAAGACCUUGAUUCUUCCCUUGAUACUAAACUGGGGAUCAAAACAAAUAUAGUAAAGAAUUCUGGGAGCAAUACCUGACAUUUAGCAUUAGAAUACGAAUACAUUAUAUGGUAUUAUAUUCAUGCAGUAUCCAGUCAUAUAUAGCAAUAGACAAAGUUACAAAGAGCUAACCCCACAAAGAGUUGGAACAAACAUGGGAAAAUACUAAAAUCAUCACAACACAAUUACUGUCACAAAUUACUAUUUAUUAAUAAACAUGAAGAAUGCCAUUCAUGUUGAUCUCAUCAUUAAAAGAUAUCUAAUGCAUGCUUGUGUAUAAUACAUUGCAUAUUUCUGAAGUUGCGUGAUUUAAUUUUAUGCAAUAGUAAUUUUUCUUGAUAUUACUUUAGGCCUAAUGUUUGAAAGAUUAUUAUAGUCCUUUUAUUUAUUGGAAAACUGAAAUAACAAAUAUUUUAUUAGAUUUACACUUUGAUCUUAAAAAAAUGCUGAAAACUGAGUGAUGAGCAAUUUAUUGUGAUAUCUGUUUACAUGAUAUCUCGGAGACAUCCCAUCUAAGUUAUAUUGUGUAAUCUUGCAACUUAAAAUUCAGGAUUUGGACUACUGGGUUUUAGCAGAAAGUUUUGGUCUACUAGGUUUUAGUAGAAACCUUCUUCCAUUUAUUUUUCAAUUCACAAGGGUAUGAAGUAAUAUUAAAUAAAGCAUGAUACUAUCAAACAACAAAAUUGAUCUAAGGACAAUGUUUUGAAUUCUUGAUCUCCAUGAAAAAAACUUUCAUCCUUUUAAAUCCAUCUCUUAUUUGGUUCAUCGCACAUACAGCAAAUAAGGGAAUAAAUUUCUUUUGCCAAUAUCAUCAUACAGACCAAUUAGACCGAUAAAGAAAAAUUUGUAAAUUACCAGCACAUAGCUACCUGUCAGAAGGAAUAAUUUUUCUCGUUGGUAUCAGAUUGUAACAUUCUUAGAAACAUCUGAUGAAAAUAUGAUUUAUAUUUCUCAACAUUAGUUAAUUCUACAACUUUUUAGGUCAACAGCUGGUCUAAUCUUGCAAUGGUGAUUUGUUACUGAUCCUAGGUACAUCAGCUGUAACAAUCCGUUGACAUGUAAUAUAGCAGCAACAAAAUAAUCCAUACUUUAUGUGAAAAUGUAACAGAAAGCAGGAAUACUGUAAGAUCACUAACAAAGAUCAGUUUUCAUAUUAAUAGCUAAGUAUAGAUGUAAAAUAUGACACUAUCCAAUUUAGCAAUAUCAAAUGAUGAUCAGUUUUCAUAUUAAUAGCUAAGUAUAGAUGUAAAAUAUGACAUUAUCCAAUUUAGCAAUAUCAAAUGAUGUAAGUUUUUUUUUUUUAGGACAAAAAAUAUGCAUUAGAAUGUUGGAACAUAACAUAAAGAAUUUCUAAGAUGAUUUAAAAAACUAAAUAAACUAACAAACUUUAUUAUAAAAAAUUAUAAUAGACUUACAGAAUAAUAAGAAAUAAAAUAAUGAUCAAAUCCGGAAAUGUGUUGGACACUGUCCUAAGGUGUAUUUCCGUUCCUUAUGCAGAAAAAUCCGGGAAAAUCACCCCAAGAUAUAAUCGGGAUUCUCCAGCCUGCAAGCAUGAUUGUGGAGGAGGUUGAUGAAGACUCUUUCAGCACCUAGGAAGAAAAAAAGAAAUAUUGAAAUAGAAAAAAAAGUAUUAGAAAAAAUUUAGAAAGAAGAAGGGAAGGCUCUUAGAUAGUUUAUAGAAUUAGAUCCCAAUGGGACUUUUUUAUAGCCAACCAAUAUGACCGUUUAUGACCAUUUGUAACUGUCCAUGACUGUUGGGAUUUUUAUUGACCCAUUAAGGUCUUUAAUAAGGAGUCCAACGGUCAAAACCUUUAAUACAGAGUGUAAUGGUCAUAAAAUAAAAAUGAAAUUAAAUGCACAUGACCAUUGGUAAUUAGGAACCCAAUGGUCAGAAAUUAAAAUCUUGAUAAUAAAGAAACUAAAAUAUUUAAAUGGUAAAAUUAAAAUACUUGGAGGGAUAUUAUAGGAAAAUUUUGAGUUUGCCUCCCACAACUUUGUCGUAUUAUUUGAUGGCUAGCUCCAUAUAAAGGUUUUCAGUUAGUUGUUCCUCUCAUCCCACUAGUGCAUAAUAUAACUAAAACAAAAGAUCAAGAUUUGCUGUCUCAAUACUGGAUCCCAUACAAAUACCAUCCUAUUAUUGUGUCAGUAUACGGUACAAUAUGGUACAACAGUGUUAGUAUGGGGUAAUACGGCAUAUAUGUAUAGUAUUGGUAUAGUACGGUAUAUCCCAUACCAGGUAGUAAGGGGCAGUGCAGCGAACACUGCAAAAAACACUCCAUAUUGUUGUACCUUUACACUUUUGGUUUCAAUAUCUGUAUUACCAGAAAAUUUGAUGUUAUUUAAAAGUCAUAUAUGAUUUAUUUUUGUCUGAUUUUGGUGAAGAGUACCUAUGCAAGAUCCUCCCGCUCUAACCACAGAAGAAAGAAAAGAAAAGUGACAAGAUGAAAAUAAAAAGAAAUAUAGUGGACCAUGAUAAAUGGUGAAUCCAGUCUUGUGGGCAACCUUCGUUUGAUUCAUGAGAAACAUGAAUUUAUAUAAAAGGUUCUCGGUUGAACAUGAGAAAAUUGUUUCUUACGAUUCUUGUUUGAAACUAAUAAUUCCAUUCAUUAAAUGCACCUAUGAACUCAUAAACUGCCUCUAGUUAAGCUGGCUGAGAAUUUGUAACCCUUCCAAUAUGAUAAUGCCAACAAACUAAUAAUGAAUUUUAUUAAUAUGAACAAAAGUAUACCAUUUGAUACAAUAUCAUUUCAUGAAUGAAUCGAAAAGUCUCUUCAUCUAGGGAUUGUUGACCCGUUAUUUGUGUACGGUGAAAUAACUUGGAUCCCACUUGGACCAUCCAGGGUAAAACAUUUUUUACCUGGAGCAUGUGUUGUGCACCUCCUCACUAGCGUGCGUACGUAUGCAUAUGUAUAUAAUUAUGUAUGUAUGUGUAUGAGUGCAUACAUUAGUAUGCCGAAAGUUCUUUUGUCCAAGUUCCAUCAUCUAUGUGCAGUAUGACAAAGGAAAUUAUGCAGUAUUUUGCAUUGCAAGCUUAGAGAACAGUGAUAUAUGUUGGUACUUUUCAUGCUGGCCUUCACAGAGCAUUAUUGGCUCUUGCAAGAAUAUCCCAAACAUAACCCUUAGGGUUGAAAUCCUGUCCAUCCAACCUUGUCAUAUCUUCGCUGGAUUCUAUCAUCCCUCAUGAAGGACUACCUUGUCUAGCCAAAAUUCUUUCCAAACCCACCAUACAGAGGUUCACCCAUCUAACCCAAUAGUGCUCCGAUGGUCCAACAAGCCCCAAAGUACAUUACUAAGCAACCCGAACUAUUCUGGGUGAGUUCCCCAACCAAUAGUAGCAUCCACAAUCAUAUUAUGGUAUCAAAGUUGGGUGCCAUUCCUCUAUCCAUGCUUGUUCUUUUGUGCCACAGCCUAUGUUUGUGCUUGAGCCCAUGUUUGCAUUGUCGCAAUCAAGGGCUCAUGGCUCGAAUGGGUCAAUCUCUACUCCUUCGUGUGAGAUAUUGUCCGUUUCGGCCUCUGGCCCAUAACGCAGAAUCCACGAUUUUCUCUUUAAAAGAUGCCUCACAGGAGAGAAUGUCCCAUUCCAAAUAAGCCAGCUCUUCCCUUGACUCACAAUCGAUAUGGGACUAAUAAUGCUAUCCUCCCACAACAUUAGCCGCCCCUAGUCAAGAGGGAGUCUGUGUGUAGGCAGGAGGCGGUUCCCACAGUUGGCAUCAAUAUUGCGGUCAAGAGCUUGUGGCUCAGAUGGGUCGGUCUUCGCUCCCGCAUGUGUGAGAUAUUGUCCACUUCGGCCUCUGACCCAUGGCAUCGGGCCUCAUAGUUUUGUCCUCUAAAAGGUGCCUCAUAGGAGAGAGAAGAUUCCAUUCCAUAUAAGCCAGACUCCUUAACUCACAACUGAUGUAGGACUAAUAAUACCAUCUCCCACAACAGCACCCUUUCUUACACAUGCACCUUAUAGACUUUGCGCCUUGUAUGCCCAUGGUCAUGUGUUUUGUGCCCUUAUAGGCAUGUCAACUUUUGCAUGUGCCCAUGGUUAUUGUCAUCACCCUAUGUUUGUAGUGUGAACUUGUGCUUUCAUAGUUGUGCCCCAUGCCAUCAUGCCCCUUCAUUCUUCUCUGCUUAAUGCCUUCAUGCACUUGUCUCCUUAUGGUUAUGCCCAAGCUCAUGCCGUUUCUUUCUUACCAGUGUCCCCCUGCGGCCUCAUGCACUCUGCACCAUUACCAUUGUGCACCUGCACUCUUAUCCACCUUGCACCUUCAUGUACUUGAACCCCUGUUGGUGCCCAUAUUUUCCUCAUUAUCUCAUGCUCAUGCCCAUGUUUGCAUACUCAUGUGCCUCCCAUCUUCAAGAGCUCUUUUGUAACUAUGCAUCUUGAUGAACAUCUUUCUGCAUGUUCUCCAGAUCUGCAAAAUGGACACCUAAUUCUAUAGCUCAUACCAGCUGCUGCACCGCUGUGUGGGACUUCUUUUUCUUCCAUUGGCAGAUUGAUUGGUCUUAGCUUGUUAAGGACAUAGCGUGUUUUGGCCUUGCAUAUAAUGCAGAGACUCUGACCAUGAUAUACUCUUUUUUCCUUAUAUGUGAUGAGCCUAUAGAUGUUCAUACCUAUGCAUGGUGGCUGACUUCAAUCUGAGUCCUUGUGACUUGUGUAUUUUUGGCUGAAGCCCCCGCCAAAAAAACUUGGACUCUUGAAAACUUGGCUCCUCAAACUCUUCAAAUUUCACCAUCUAUCAAACUCUAUUUUGCAUUGCAAUUCUUUACUUAAAAGCUAAUGCUCAUAAGGAGAGGAUCUGAAUUUCUUAUGUUCAUCAAGAGAUGAGAUCACUUGAUACCAAUAAAACAAUAACUUAUUCCUGUUGGAGGAGGAAAAAUGCAAUUGAUGUAGAUGAGAGUAAAUUAUUUAACAUUUUCUCAAUGCAACUUUGGACAGAUUAAAACUAGGUUUCUAGAAAAAGAUAAGCACAGAUCUAUAAUUAUCGUGAAACCAUUCCUCAAGGGGCUGAGCAUAUCUAUGUACAAGAAUGAUUGAACAUUUUGUGAAUUUUUUUUUCGCUUAUGUUGCUUGUACUCGAGACUUUCUAUUUAUAGGUACUAUGAUGGUCAAGAAGCAUAUAACAUUGCUUGUUAUUAAAUCUUUAAUGAAAAGAUUGAGCGCGUAACAGCGAAUUAAUGGUAUAUUCAUGACGAGAGUGUGAAAUAAGAUCUAGACACACCAUUCAAUAAUUCUUAAGAUCAUGUGACUUAUCGAGUCAAGAAAAAGUUUCAGAAGAAAAAAAUAGUCUUAUUGUUCUAAGCUUGAGAACAUAAUAUUUAGCUCCUCACGGUUCUUAAAGAAUUGUUGGUUUGAUUACAUGACAAAUUGUAAAUGUUAUCCACAAAGUAUGUAGUGAAUUAAGGAUAGUCCUUAACCACCUUUUUUUUGGACCCAAUCAUUAUUGUAUGACAACUUAUAACUGACAAACAUUAUGACCAUUCAAGCAUGAAUCAUUGCUCUCUCUCUCUCUCAUGGUUUUUUUUCCUUUUUUUGGUUUCGGAGGUGGGGAGGUUGGGUUUAUAUAACUGUUUUCCACUUAUUUAUUGUGGGUAGGCAUAUUUAUUAAAUAUUAAAUGGAUAUGCACCUCAAAAAACUUAGAUGCACCCAUCGGAAGUUAUAUAAAUGUUUUCCACUUUCUACUCUAUUAAUUUUGAGGUGCAUCAUUCAAGAAACUUCGGGAUGAACAGGGCCUUGUAGGUAAGGAUUGUGAGUAGGCAGUAUACUCUACCUAUGCUCCAAUAGUAUUUUAACAACCCAAGACCUUGUCCAAAAGGGCCAGCUGAAAGGUAUUAUUUAGAUUUAUUGGCCUUGCAUAAGUACCCAAUAUCUAUGUAAUGCAUAGUUGAUGUGGGACUAAACACUCUUGUACCACAAGGAUCCUCAUGUAUGCCCUCUAUUUUAGCACUGGCGUCUUUGCUAAACUAAGGAUCCAAACCCAUUCACAUCCUAUCACAAGUACCGCAAAUCGAAUCACAACCAUCACAAUCAAUUUGUGGUCAAUCCUAAAUGGGCUUGUGCUACAAUGUCUCCUAGUCUAUAUGUGCUAUGAGCUGGAUUCACUUCGAUACCAUUUAUAAUAGCUCAGGACCUCAUCCAAAAAAGCUGGCUAGAAGAUAAUUAUUUAGGUUCUUUGGUCUUGUAUAAGUAUCCAAUAUUUAUCUGGUAUAUAGCUGGUGUGGGACUAAAUAUACAGCUACAUGGGUCCUCAUAAGUAUAUAUUGGGAAUAUUAAGUGAGACUUCUUUUUCUUUUCCCUUGUAAAAGAGAAAUAAUCCUAUAACCUUUAUUUAGAAUCUCUUUUGUUUUCAAGACUGUACAAGGAAAAUUGCAUGUCACAACUGUUCAUGAAGUAUUCCUGCUUUCAUGUACCCGCAACUAUUAGUUAAAUAUUUGAAUAAUUAAUUAUGUUAUUUGUUGUCUCUUAUGUUUUCUUAAUUUUUUUCCACAUGUAACAUUCCUCUUAGUCAAAUGUACAUGUAUAUCAGAUUUUCUGAUUUCAUCUUUUUAUUUUUUAUUUUUGAAAAUUUCUGCUUUCUUCUUACCUAGCCAAAUUUUAGCUUAUUUUCUGACCUGAAAGGUGCAAGCUGGAUAAAGCAUUUUACUUGUCAAAAGAAAAAAAAAAAUGCUUCUAGGUGUCUUGUUUUAGUUGCAGCAAUUAGCAGUUGCAACCUAAACCACCUGGAUGCCUGCAGUGCAUUAUAUUACCUGGUAGUCUCAUUAAAAUGAUGAUAGCUCCUGGUUUUGGAGGUGAAAAGGAGUCAUGAGUUUGCCAAUAAAGAUAUUUUGUUGAUGUGCUAGGGCAAGCUGAUGAGAUUCUCUUUAAAAAGUGAUCAAAUAAAUUUUGAGUGGCCUCUGUAUCUUCUUUCUCUCUCUUUUUUCCUUCGAUGAGUGCAUGUAACUUCAGAAGAUUGGUAGUCAGAUAUGUACGUUGUUCUUGACUAGCAUUCACAUGAGGGUGGUUGCUCCUUUUCAAAGAAAAGUAUAUAUUUCUGUCUAAAAUCAGAUAUAGUCUGAGUGCUCUCUUGGCUUAUAAGCAUUCAAUCAAUCAUUAUUUUUUCAAAGUAUAUUUGGUUUGUAUUCAUGCCAUUCCUGCUAGCUUGUUUCCUGUUUUUGAUGCACUACCGCAAUCUACUGUUACUUGAAUGUCCAUUGUUACUUUUUGGUGAAUCUGAGACUGAAGCCACUCUGUUCAAAUGCAAGGAUGGACAGAGAGAGAGCAGAGAAGAAGAGAGGCGUAGAGAGACAGAAGCAGAAGAGAGGCAUAGAGAGAUGAAGUCUGCCUCAAAAUUUUCUUACUUUUCAACUGGCAUUUCUGUUGCUGGAAUCAUAAGCAUUUUCUCUGGAUAUCUUGGAGAUCAAACAGGACAUGCCCAUACGGUCCCUCUAAAGAUCUGCACCUUCUUCAUGCUGGCCACCUUUGUAUCUGGAGCCAGCAUGCUGCUUCUGAUACUUAUCAAUCUUAGCAGCCACAUCUCUAUUAUAUUCUUCAGAAGCCUCAAGUAUACGACAUUGGGGUUCCUGACCCUUUCAAUGUGNNNNNNNNNNNNNNNNNNNNUAGUGUCUCCAUUCUUUUCCUAAAGAUGUUUGCCAUUCUUGCCUUUGUUCCGACGUUGUUUAUAGUAUUGAUUUCAUUCAUUAUGGCCUGGUAUCCAUGCAGUCAUCACCGAGGUAAUCGUGUCAGGUCACUCCCUCCUUUAUCCGAAGCUGUCUGAAACAUUUGGAUGCCGUACAAUUGCAUUGUUUUCAAUACUAUACUCCUAUUGCUAUGUAAAUAUUUAUAUGUAAAUUGAUAAGUGACAGAAUAAAGAUGCAUGAAAAGUAGAUUAAGAUUCUGUGUACUAAAACCAUUGUAGUGCUGUCUGAUUUCAUUGGGAUACAGGAGAAAACUAGAGAAUCAAUAAUAAUGUAAUAUUUUCCUAAUAACCAAUUAACCUUUCAGACAUGGAAUUAUGUUGGUUUUGAGCUGGGAUUUCCUAGAGUGUAAAAUGGGAUCCUAUAUGGUGUGUGUUUUGUGCUUGCACUGUGAAAGCUUAUGGUAGAGGUUAGUGUUAUGCAAAGGUUUUAGCGCAUAUUUGGUGAGAUCCAUGGAGAGGUUGGUAGCCGAAAAGAAUUCGAUGAGACUCUGGAAGAGGAUGGGAGCCGAAGGGGUUCGGUGAGAUAGCCGAAGAGGACUUGGUGAGACUCUGAAAGACGAUGGUAGCCGAAGAGAUUCGGUGAGAUUCAGGCUAGGAUUGGUAGCCGAAGAUGGCUGAUGUAUUGGCAACAAUUAUGAAAGUCAACAAGAAGGAUCGACAGGUACCUGAUUGGUAAGAUAUAAUAGGUCUAACUAUCCAACCUGCUGAUUGAGGAUGAUCUAGCUUGAUGUGGGUCAACUCAGGUGUGAAGUCCCUGUGCCUACUAGAUAAAGGCUAAUAAACCCUACCUCCCAACGGACAUUUGUUUUU
rnacentral:lncRNA from 1 species